CGGACGGGUGAGUAACACGUGGAUAACCUACCUAUAAGACUGGGAUAACUUCGGGAAACCGGAGCUAAUACCGGAUAAUAUUUUGAACCGCAUGGUUCAAAAGUAAAAGACGGUCUUGCUGUCACUUAUAGAUGGAUCCGCGCUGCAUUAGCUAGUUGGUAAGGUAACGGCUUACCAAGGCAGCGAUGCAUAGCCGACCUGAGAGGGUGAUCGGCCACACUGGAACUGAGACACGGUCCAG
rnacentral:rRNA from 1 species